ACUGCAGGCUGGGGCUCCGCUCCCCGGCGGGAGCCCGCGCGUGGUUCCCAGCGAAGUCCCCGCGCGGCUGGGCCCAGCGUGAGUAUUCUCCGCCCGCUGUCCUCCCCCUGGAGGCGGCAGCGCCCGUUUAUUUGAGGCUUCUAAUGUGAGGAAAAACACGGAAUGACAAGUGUGGGAAAGAGCAAGCACUAAAUUACUGUCAGAAAAAUAAACGGAGUAGCACAGUGCUGCUCGGUGAUUUACGGGGGCAAUUAGUCACCACCCCACGGCGCUGCUGAGGACAGCACGGCAGCAGACAAGUCAGGCCCAUGAGGAAGAAGAGGCUUUGCACUGCUCUCCAGACAACUUUUCAAACAACAAGAGAGGAUAUUUGAGCACAUUAGGUUUUGUGUCUUCAUUCUGGGUACCUACUCUUCAUAUUAUUCUACCAACUUAAUACAUAAACAUAUUUUUAGCACAAUAUGAACCUGUUCUAUGUGUGUUUAAAAGCCUCCAGCAGCAACUUUUUUCUCUCCCACUGUCCAAAGUUGGGUUUUCCCCAUCCCUUAAAAAACAAAACAAAAAAACCUUUCUUCACUCCAAAUUGUCCCCCUGGUGUGUGGUUUUGGUCUUUCUCAUUACUUCUUGCAUCUUGCUACAUGUUCUGCAUUUGCUCAGAGCCACUGGGUGCUAAGGAAUUUGGUCUGCUGCUCCUCUGGGAAAGUUUGGUAAGCUGGUACAAGGAGGUGAUGAACAAGGCUAAAUGAAAAUCAUACAUAAACUUCCCAAUAUUUGUGAACAUGUUCUUUAACAUACCAUACAUAGUUUC
rnacentral:lncRNA from 1 species